rnacentral:rRNA from 1 species
GACGAACGCUGGCGGCGUGCUUAACACAUGCAAGUCGAACGGAAAGGCCCUGCUUUUGUGGGGUGCUCGAGUGGCGAACGGGUGCGUAACACGUGAGUAACCUGCCCUUGACUUUGGGAUAACUUCAGGAAACUGGGGCUACUACCGGAUAGGAGCUCCUGCUGCAUGGUGGGGGUUGGAACGUUUCGGCGGUUGGGGAUGGACUCGCGGCUUAUCAGCUUGUUGGUGGGGUAGUGGCUUACCCAGGCAUUGACGGGUAGCCGGCCUGUGAGGGUGACCGGCGACAAUGGGACUGAGGGAGGGCGCAGACGGGAACAGGAGGCAGCGGGGGCGAGCAUGGCACAAUGGGCGGAAGUGUGUGGCAGCGGCGCCGGGGGCGGGAUGACGGCUUGUGGGUUGUGAAACGCAGUAGCCUGAGACGAAGCGUGAGUGACGGUAAUGGAAAAAGAAGCACCGGCUAACUACGUG